UAAGGAAUAUUGGACAAUGGACGCAAGUCUGAUCCAGCCAUGCCGCGUGAAGGAUGAAUGCCCUCUGGGUUGUAAACUUCUUUUACAGGGGAAGAAAGUUAUCUUUUUUAGGAUAUUUGACGGUACCCUAUGAAUAAGCACCGGCUAACUCCGUGCCAGCAGCCGCGGUAAUACGGAGGGUGCAAGCGUUAUCCGGAUUCACUGGGUUUAAAGGGUGCGUAGGCGGGUAUGUAAGUCAGUGGUGAAAUACCGGAGCUUAACUUCGGAACUGCCAUUGAUACUAUAUAUCUUGAAUAUUGUGGAGGUAAGCGGAAUAUGUCAUGUAGCGGUGAAAUGCUUAGAGAUGACAUAGAACACCGAUUGCGAAGGCAGCUUGCUACGCAAAUAUUGACGCUGAGGCACGAAAGCGUGGGGAUCAAACAGGAUUAGAUACCCUGGUAGUCCACGCCCUAAACGAUGAUUACUCGACAUUAGCGAUACACAGUUAGUGUCUGAGCGAAAGCAUUAAGUAAUCCACCUGGGAAGUACGACCGCAAGGUUG
rnacentral:rRNA from 1 species